AGUGAACGCUGGCGGUAGGCCUAACACAUGCAAGUCGAACGGCAGCACAGUAAGAGCUUGCUCUUACGGGUGGCGAGUGGCGGACGGGUGAGGAAUACAUCGGAAUCUACUUUUUCGUGGGGGAUAACGUAGGGAAACUUACGCUAAUACCGCAUACGACCUACGGGUGAAAGCAGGGGAUCUUCGGACCUUGCGCGAUUGAAUGAGACGAUGUCGGAUUAGCUAGUUGGCGGGGUAAAGGCCCACCAAGGCGACGAUCCGUAGCUGGUCUGAGAGGAUGAUCAGCCACACUGGAACUGAGACACGGUCCAGAUUCCUACGGGAGGCAGCAGUGGGGAAUAUUGGACAAUGGGCGCAAGCCUGAUCCAGCCAUACCGCGUGGGUGAAGAAGGCCUUCGGGUUGUAAAGCCCUUUUGUUGGGAAAGAAAAGCAGCAGGUUAAUACCCCGCUGUUCUGACGGUACCCAAAGAAUAAGCACCGGCUAACUUCGUG
rnacentral:rRNA from 1 species